GUUAAAGGUACCCGUACCGCAAACCGACACAGGUGGGUGAGGAGAGUAUCCUAAGGCCAGCGAGAGAACUGUUGUUAAGGAACUCGGCAAAAUGACCCCGUAACUUAGGGAUAAGGGGUGCCACCAUCAGGUGGCCGCAGAGAAUAGGCCCAAGCGACUGUUUACCAAAAACAUAGGUUUCUGCUAAGUCGCAAGACGAUGUAUAGGAGCUGACGCCUGCCCGGUGCUGGAAGGUUAAGGGGAUCUGUUAGAGCAAUCGAAGCAGUGAACUUAAGCCCCAGUAAACGGCGGCCGUAACUAUAACGGUCCUAAGGUAGCGAAAUUCCUUGUCGGGUAAGUUCCGACCCGCACGAAAGGCGUAACGAUUUGGGCACUGUCUCAACAACAGACUCGGUGAAAUUGUAAUUCCGGUGAAGAUGCCGGAUACCUGCGACAGGACGGAAAGACCCCAUGGAGCUUUACUGUAGCUUGACAUUGGGUCUUGGUACUACAUGUACAGGAUAGGUGGGAGGCUUUGAAACCAGGACGCCAGUUUUGGCGGAGCCAUCCUUGGGAUACCACCCUUGUAGUACUGGGACUCUAACCAUAGGCCAUGAAUCUGGUCUUGGGACACUGUCAGGUGGGCAGUUUGACUGGGGCGGUCGCCUCCCAAAAGGUAACGGAGGCGCUCAAAGGUUCUCUCAGUACGGUCGGAAAUCGUACGUAGAGUGUAAAGGCAAAAGAGAGCCUGAUUGCAAGACAUACAGGUCGAGCAAGGAUGAAAAGCGGACUUAGUGAUCCGGUGGU
rnacentral:rRNA from 1 species